UAGUACCGAAGUUCCUGAUGUCACACUGCCGAGAAAAGCUUCUAGUGAGAAAACAGCGGCCCGUACCGCAAACCGACACAGGUAGUCGAGGAGAGAAUCCUAAGGUGAGCGAGAGAACUCUCGUUAAGGAACUCGGCAAAAUGACCCCGUAACUUCGGGAGAAGGGGUGCUGAUCAUACGAUCAGCCGCAGUGAAUAGGCCCAAGCGACUGUUUAUCAAAAACACAGGUCUCUGCAAAAUCGUAAGAUGAAGUAUAGGGGCUGACGCCUGCCCGGUGCUGGAAGGUUAAGAGGAGUGCUUAGCGCAAGCGAAGGUACGAAUUGAAGCCCCAGUAAACGGCGGCCGUAACUAUAACGGUCCUAAGGUAGCGAAAUUCCUUGUCGGGUAAGUUCCGACCCGCACGAAAGGCGUAACGAUUUGGGCACUGUCUCAACGAGAGACUCGGUGAAAUUUUAGUACCUGUGAAGAUGCAGGUUACCCGCGACAGGACGGAAAGACCCCAUGGAGCUUUACUGUAGUUUGAUAUUGAGUGUCUGUACCGCAUGUACAGGAUAGGUAGGAGCCGUAGAAAUUGGAACGCUAGUUUCGAUGGAGGCGCUGGUGGGAUACUACCCCUGCGUUAUGGCCACUCUAACCCGCACCACUAAUCGUGGUGGGAGACAGUGUCAGAUGGGCAGUUUGACUGGGGCGGUCGCCUC
rnacentral:rRNA from 1 species